AAGUUCUAGACUAUUUUUAUUAGAAUAGUAACUCAAAAUUGAAUUUGAAUAUAAUAAGUAAAAUUGAUUGCAUAUACAUUCAAUAUGAAAAAUAUUAUUGAGCUCUUAAAAAAAAAGCUCUCUUGGAGCUUUUUGAGAAAGAGAGAGGGAGAGAGAGAGUGAGAGCGAGAGCGAUGGAGUGAGCAAAAAGGAGACGAAGGGGACGAGAAAGGUUUGUCAGUUGUCAGCAUCAUAUGAGCAUGUGUGGAGAGUGAAAGCGCGAGAAUAGCUCUUCGAAAGGGGAUCCGGUUGUGGCUUUGGUGUUGCCUUCUUGUCUGAGCUUUUAUCGGUCCAAUGAUGGCAACGGGAGGGAAACUCUAUGGACCUGGUCUAAGGGUGUUUUGAUCUGGCAUUCGAAGAGAUCUAUUGAGACUUGAUGUCGCAACAUGGGACCACACCGAUACGUCCAGUGAUACUACUCCCGUUGGCCGUUAGACAAUGGCUAUGCUCUGUCGUGUCUCUCCUUAUCUAUGUGGAUUGAAGCGCAAGUGCUAUUCUUCUGGCUGAUUAUGUUUACAUAUAGUUGUUUACCGCUUUCUUUUGUGUUGAUUUUUUCUAUGGAUUCCAUCAUUGGUUCGUGUCGUUCUCUGUAAUGCCAUGGGGGGAAUGCGAUCAUGUGCUGGUAGUGAGGUGAUUGAGCAGUUUCUUUGAUGGGAAGGGCAGUUGAUUUUAUCAUGAGCAGCAUCAACACCUUAGAAUAUAUUCAUUCCCAGUUCAAACUCCUGAUAGUGCACCUUGCGACUCCGCCAAUUAAAUGAGAGAGCACCAUAACUCAAGAUACUUGCGUGAUUUUCUAGACUCGAUCAAAACGAGUGUAGGGGAUUGUGUUAAACUUCUUUGAUAAUUGUGUGAUUAUGUAAUUGUUUUGUAGAAAUCAUCAAGCUUAGCAGUGAGGAUUUUGUGAAAAUGAUAUUAUUAGAUGCUACCUUCAUCAUUCUGCUCUUGGUAAAUUUAUUUUCAGAAUAGCAACAAUCGCAUGUCGACAAAAUGGGCUUGAAAAUCAAAUUCCAUUGUUCGUUGUUGCGAAGUCGUUUGAUCUAUCAGAUAAGAAAAGGCUGAAUAUAGCAAAGUGUCUGAGAGAGCUCCAUCAAACCGGAGUCAACUUCAAGCAAAACAUCUGUCAAAAAAUUUGGACAUAACUUUCAACAGUGGGAUUUUGGAAUUUCCAUCACUAUCAAAUAGAUCAUCAUGCCAUACAAAUGUUAUUGAGAAAUCUUUUGACAUGAACAAUGCCAUUGGUUAAAUGCAGAUUGUCAUGUACGACUAUAUAUUCAUGAUAGCAAGGAGGGUGAAUGCUACCGAAUCCUGAGGAUGGAAAAUGAUUAUUCAAAAUGGCAAUUAUGAAAAUUUUCUACGGAAUAACAAAUCUGUGUCCACACCCUCACAAGCUUGAUCAAGAGAACAGGAUUUGCAACCAAUAUCUUCUACUUGUCCACUCUCGCCGAACAACCGAAAAGUGUAUAGCAAGGACUAGCGGCACAAAGUGGAAGGCAAUCUUAAAACGCAAUUAUUUGAAUACUUGUAGCAAUUCCGUCUCAUCUCCCCUUCAUUCAAUCACUGCUCUUUCCUUCAAUUAAUAGCCGAUCAUAUUGAUGCCUUCUUUUGUCACACAAGACCCACAGCCACAAUUCUCCUUUUUUUUUCUUCAGUCGACUACCGAAAUAGAAU